rnacentral:rRNA from 1 species
AUAAUGGGUCAGCGACUUAUAUUCUGUAGCAAGGUUAACCGAAUAGGGGAGCCGAAGGGAAACCGAGUCUUAACUGGGCGUUAAGUUGCAGGGUAUAGACCCGAAACCCGGUGAUCUAGCCAUGGGCAGGUUGAAGGUUGGGUAACACUAACUGGAGGACCGAACCGACUAAUGUUGAAAAAUUAGCGGAUGACUUGUGGCUGGGGGUGAAAGGCCAAUCAAACCGGGAGAUAGCUGGUUCUCCCCGAAAGCUAUUUAGGUAGCGCCUCGUGAAUUCAUCUCCGGGGGUAGAGCACUGUUUCGGCAAGGGGGUCAUCCCGACUUACCAACCCGAUGCAAACUGCGAAUACCGGAGAAUGUUAUCACGGGAGACACACGGCGGGUGCUAACGUCCGUCGUGAAGAGGGAAACAACCCAGACCGCCAGCUAAGGUCCCAAAGUCAUGGUUAAGUGGGAAACGAUGUGGGAAGGCCCAGACAGCCAGGAUGUUGGCUUAGAAGCAGCCAUCAUUUAAAGAAAGCGUAAUAGCUCACUGGUCGAGUCGGCCUGCGCGGAAGAUGUAACGGGGCUAAACCAUGCACCGAAGCUGCGGCAGCGACGCUUAUGCGUUGUUGGGUAGGGGAGCGUUCUGUAAGCCUGUGAAGGUGUACUGUGAGGUAUGCUGGAGGUAUCAGAAGUGCGAAUGCUGACAUAAGUAACGAUAAAGCGGGUGAAAAGCCCGCUCGCCGGAAGACCAAGGGUUCCUGUCCAACGUUAAUCGGGGCAGGGUGAGUCGACCCCUAAGGCGAGGCCGAAAGGCGUAGUCGAUGGGAAACAGGUUAAUAUUCCUGUACUUGGUGUUACUGCGAAGGGGGGACGGAGAAGGCUAUGUUGGCCGGGCGACGGUUGUCCCGGUUUAAGCGU